GAUGAACGCUAGCGGCAGGCUUAAUACAUGCAAGUCGAGGGGCAGCACAGGUAGCAAUACUGGGUGGCGACCGGCAAACGGGUGCGGAACACGUACACAACUUACCUUAGAGUGGGGGAUAGCCCAGGGAAACCUGGAUUAAUACCCCAUAAAACAGGGGGCCCGCAUGGGCAUAUUGUUAAAGAUUUAUCGCUCUAAGAUGGGUGUGCGUAUGAUUAGGUAGUUGGUCGGGUAAAGGCCUACCAAGCCGACGAUCAUUAACUGGUGUGAGAGCACGACCAGUCACAAUGGCACUGGGACACGGGCCCGACUCCUACGGGAGGCAGCAGUAAGGAAUAUUGGUCAAUGGACGGAAGUCUGAACCAGCCAUGCCGCGUGAAGGAUGAAGGGCCUCUGGAUUGUAAACUUCUUUUAUAGGGGGCGAAAAAGGGCCAUUCUUGGUCGACUGACGGUACCCUAUGAAUAAGCACCGGCUAACUCCGUGCCAGCCGCCGCGGUAACAC
rnacentral:rRNA from 1 species